CGCGUAGGCGGCUUUGCAAGUCGGGUGUGAAAUCCCCAGGCUUAACCUGGGAACUGCAUUCGAGACUGCAUUGCUAGAGUAUGGGAGAGGGAAGUGGAAUUUCCGGUGUAGCGGUGAAAUGCGUAGAUAUCGGAAGGAACAUCAGUGGCGAAAGCGACUUCCUGGACCAAUACUGACGCUCAUGUGCGAAAGCGUGGGGAGCAAACA
rnacentral:rRNA from 1 species